rnacentral:rRNA from 1 species
GACGAACGCUGGCGGCGUGCUUAACACAUGCAAGUCGAGCGGUAAGGCCCUUUCGGGGGUACACGAGCGGCGAACGGGUGAGUAACACGUGGGUGACCUGCCCUUAGCUCUGGGAUAAGCCUGGGAAACUGGGUCUAAUACCGGAUAUGACUCCAUGACGCAUGUUGUGGGGUGGAAAGCCUUGUGCGGCUAGGGAUGGGCCCGCGGCCUAUCAGCUUGUUGGUGGGGUGAUGGCCUACCAAGGCGACGACGGGUAGCCGGCCUGAGAGGGCGACCGGCCACACUGGGACUGAGACACGGCCCAGACUCCUACGGGAGGCAGCAGUGGGGAAUCUUGCGCAAUGGGCGAAAGCCUGACGCAGCGACGCCGCGUGAGGGAUGACGGCCUGGUUGUAACCGU